UGUUGAUGAGAUAUGAGGUUUGGGUGUGUUAGUUUAAACAGAGAUUAGUUCUUCUACUGGAGAUAAAAACACUUUGUGCACGGAGAUCUCUUUUGGCUCAAAAGUCAAACACUUAAAAACCAAAACAUAAAAUGUAAAGUCGCA